GGGUGUGACAGUGGAUGGGAAGUGGGAAAAGUGCCCUGUGUGGCUUUUGCUUCUUCGUCUCUGGCUUCUUCCAGUGAGAAGGGGGCACGGGGGGCACUGGGUUUUUGUUGCGGGUAGCUCUGCUGGGGCAGAUGUUCCUGCAGGAUGGGGAUGCUGCGGGCUUGGUCUUCGGGGCCUUGUGGGAAUUGGAGGUGACAAAACAUCGCUGUUCCUUUCCCGAGUGAUGGGAACAGCGAGGUGAGGGCUCUCCAAGCCCUCCACCUGCAGAAAUUAGGGGCACAGCGCUGCGGGGAGGGGGAUCCUGGAUCAGCGGAUGAUCCUGGAGAGCAGGCACAAAUGUUUUCCAAAUCCUGAGGCAGGCGUCAGAUCAGCGCACCCCAAAGCCUGCUGCUGGGCUUCAGCUCCUGCUCCUGUUGGAGGUGCGAUGUAAGCAGAACGAAUGCCCCAGUGAGCCCACUGAGCGUCUCGGGAGCAAAUCACAUUUGUGAAGCUGCAUCUAACUGGGCUGAUGCGCGGGGCGCUGCUCGAGGCAGGACUGCCAGAGCUAGAAUGGAAGUGCCGAUAACUGCUGGAUGAACCGCCAGCCAGCCACGCAGAGGGAAAUGAUUGCAAGAGACUUCAGUAUGUGCUUACCUGCUUGGCUGAAUAUGGCGAGAUUACUCCGUGCUGAAGAUCUCUACGUACAGUUUUUGUCAUUUUACUCUCCCUAGCUGAGUUUACAACGACGCGAGGGAAGAUGUGGUGGCUGCCUGCGAGGAGAGAGAAGCGCUCGCAAAUGGGAGCGGAGGAGCUGAGACUCAGCAUGGUUGGAGGAGAUGCAGAAAAAGGCCUAACUCCUCGCAGGGCAAGGAAUGCAUUUUGCCAGUGUUUGGUGGCAUCCUUCACCAUAACGUCUCCCAGGCAGUACGAGUUGUUAUGUCCCGGUGGUGCCAGGGUCCUGGGCGUGAGGAUGUAAUUGUGGUGGUCAGAUUCUCCCUCUUCUCUUUUGGUUUCAUUAUCGGUCAAGCUGCAAAAUCAUUAUUUUUUUUCCCCCUUUCCAUUAUAUUCCUCCCCCCAGCUCUCACCACUUUCUUACCACCUAAGUACUUCUUUCUCAAACACUCCCCUCCUUCUGCCUAUGCUGCCAUCUCUGCAGAGCAUCCCGAUUCCUUCCAAGAGAAAGGAGCUACACCUGCAGCCUCCCUCCUCCCCCAGCUCCCCUUCACUUCUCUCUCCCUGCAAACAGCUCUGUCCUCUGCCAACCCUUCUCUUCAGGCUCCCCGUGCCACCCCAAGUGCCCUCCUUCCCUUCCCAACCUUCUCCAGGAGUUGCUGGUCACCACCCCAAGCCCUGGGACGGCAGCCAAGGCUCGGUGUCUCACCAAACCCGCUGCUUUCUGCCACGUGCUGAUGUUCCUCCUCUCCUGCCCUGCUCGAGAGCACCUCCAGCCCAGCAGGACCUGCUGAGGACUGCCUGCUCUCCACCUCAUUAUCCUCGAGCAGGUCUGGCGUGAAAUGUGACGGACGUGCUCCUGCCUCAGUGCUCCCCCUGCACAGACAGAAGAAAAUCCGAGCAGUGUCAGGUGCGUGACCUGCAGCCUGGAGAUGACUCGAUCUCAUUUCAUCCUGCACUGGUGCACCUGUACAACAAGCAGCCCGUUAUCACACCCUUUACUCAACUAUUUGGUCUUCCUAGCCUUCGGGACGUCAUGUUACUUAUUCUUUCACCUAAUGUAUUUGGAGCAACUUGCUAGCGACGUGCAGCCCUAUUUAUCCUUCUAGGGACAACAAUAGCAGGAAUAAAUGUUAAACUAAAGGAAGGAAUUAAAAAAAAAAAAAUUAAAAAAAUAGCAGCUCUAUUUGUGCUAUGCCGAGAUGCGUUUCUUGGCAGCCCUAGAGAUUCAACAGUCUGGUAUUUAUCACGAUGAAGCGCAGAGAUGUCUGAUGGCUGCAGGAAGGGAAAUAAAGAGGCUGAGGGAUCAGGGUAGGUGUUCGUGGCAGGCAGCUGCAGGAGCAGCGGUACGUCGAGGCGGCUGCCAGGGGCACGGAUCAGCAGCGCUGAUGGGCAGCUGUUGGAGGUCAAGCCCCGCGGUGGGGACAUAGCCGCUGGGAUUUCUGCCUCCCAAGGAGACCAAAGGGCUGCAGCUGCCAGUGGAAAAUCUCCCGGAGAGCUGGACCUCAGGGUCAUCAUGAGGAGCAGCCACUGCGAUGCUGUGAGCCCACAAAGAAGCGUCAGCUUUGUGCAGGAGUGUGCGUGGGCAGGAGGAGUUUGCACGUGAAGCUGCCCUGACACUCACUGUGACACUCGCUGCCGGGGUCACGGCUGUGGACAACGUCCUCAGAGGUCCAGGCUGAGGAGAUGACGCUCACCGCUUCAUUGCUCUGUGCGGAGGGAGGGAGAUACCCAGUCCUCAAGCAGCUGCAUCCCAGUGAUGGAAGCCCCUCGUCUCCCAGUGCUCCCAGUUCUUUAUGGGAGCACAAAGCUGAAGAAACGCACGAUCCUUCUGUUUUGGCUUCAGUUUGUCCUUUUACACUAUUCAAGGGAUUAGUGAACUGCAGCCUGGAGCUGGCAUUUCCUAAAGAUAGCUCCAUAAAACGUGGACAUGCUGCUUGUCGUAUGCAUCUUGUAGGCUCGCGUAGGUGGCAGCACGAGUCUUUGCCUGGCAAAUUCCUCUGACAACUCCUUUCCCUGUCCUCUCUGGCCCGGGGAAAGCCACCAGCCUGUAGGACCAACACUCGCCUCUCGUGCAGCUGAGAUCACCGAGUUACCCUGGCACCAGGCCCUGUCACUCCACAGUGCCAAGGGCACCAGAAGCAAUUAAAGAAAAAUGAGAAUUGAUUUGAGGAAUGUAAUAAUCAUUCAACUAGCUGGGGAAAGGAAAAAAAAAAAAAAAGAUUGUAUCAUUGAUAUACCAGGAAGAAUAACAUUUACUCUCUGAUAAGCAUUAUGGAACCUGCAGAAGCAAGCCUGAGACCUCAAGGACUUGCACCAUAAAUGAUUUAAUUCUGAAGAACAAGAAAACAAUAUGUUGAAAAUCAAUCCGAGAGGCUAAGAAAGUGAGAAGUGGGCAGGGGAAGGGUUUCUGUCUCCAGUCUCGGCCCAAGCUGAGAGCCAGGUAUGCCUCUGGCCCCCACGCCUGCCUUUUCAUAGCAGUUUUCCUUCCCAGCACAUCAUUCUCUGCUCAUUUUUGUAGCCAGUUCCAUGGCUACUCUUGGAAGCAGAGGGAUGCAGCUGGAGCCUGCCCAUGCCACUGGCUCCAGGGGCUCGUGUCCUGGUGAAGUGGAGCACCUCAUUUCCAGGUGGGUUUUCCCUACCCGUUGGCAUCUGGGCUGUCGGAGCUCGUAGCUUCUGGCUUCUCCUUGACACAGGAGCUGCUCGGCGCUGCUUCAUUAGGCAAGUUAUUUUUAAAUUCCCAGAAAGAGCAAAACAUUGGGAGAGGAAUUACCAUUCGCCUUUGAAACAGCUGCAGAAAGGCUGAGGCACUGAGCCCUCUGUGCGUCCCCCCUGCUACUCGUGCGAUUAACCAGAUGGCAGAGCUGAGUCACCCACUCGCAGGCCACAUCAGAAAUUGCACCUGAAUUGAGUGAGGAACCUCCAAAAGCGUGGUUUUGAUGUGGAUAAGAGGGGGACCAUCAACACCGAAUAGGAAAAUGUCUGUGAAAGAUUUCUUUCCCCCCCCCCUUUAGCCCCACCUCGUGUUUCCGCUUCUCUCUCUCAUUUUUCCCUUAAGGCCUUUGACAAUGAGCACUUAAGAAAACCUCCGCCCUCAUUUAUCAACAUAAACGAAUGAAAAGAGAAAAUAAAACCUGCCCACAGUCCUCACCCCCCUGAACAACAGCAGAACCCAGCAGGCACCCAGUGUUUUCCAAACGCCAAGGGCCAGCAGUAAGCUGAUGUUCUUUGGGGGUGCCCCUGCACCACAACACGCUGAAGGUUCUCAGGUGGCUGAUGCUGCUCUUACAGCACGGAGUUGGAGCCAAAGGCCAGCUAUAAAGCUGUUGUGUUUAAUUUAUUGUAUUUAUUUAUUUGUGAAUGCUGAUUGCCCCACAGCUCGUGCUGCUCAGAGCAGCUACGGCUCAAGAGAAAAAAGUUACACGGGUGAAAAAAGUGUUGGAAAGCUGUAGCCAGUUACAGAGAUGUCCGAAAUCUAAAAAAGGGAGGAGAGAGGACUGGAAAUGACCUUUUCCUGUAGCUGGGAGUGCUCAUAUAUCAUUAAAUAUUUCCAGUGGUGGACACUCGUAGCAGGAAGAGGGUGGGUGGGUUGUUUCAGUGGGCAGCCUGCCCCACUGCUGAAAAUACUGCAGCGUGCAGCAACCUGGCACUGAUGUCCAGCUGAGAACCCUUCAGUGUUACAUCUGCCACGUACGUUCCUCCAGACUGCAUGUAAAGUGUCAUUUAACCUUUGGUUUCUUAACGAACCGUGCUCCUUGGGUGUUUCUCACCAAGAUGUGCUGUCCAGCCCUCGGGGGAGCCUUCCUCCAGCCCUCUCCACGAAGAGGUUGCAGCAUCUCAGCAGCUGUGCGGCACCAGAGGUCACUGAUCACACGCUAAGUGCUGCGGGGUCAGGAACCGACAGAAGGGAGCGGUGCCGUGCUCUGCGAUGAGUCUGCUUCCAGCUGCACCCUGAGACCCAUCGGUUGGCUUGCAGUCCAAUUAAUAUUUGUAAUAUUGACUUCCAUCGUUCCUCUUUCUCAACCAAAACAUUAUGAAAGACGGGAUCGGAUGUCUUACCAACUGCAGGUUUGUCGUAUCAGCACUACUACUUGACAGGCCUGAUAUUAUUGGACUCGAUGAUCUUGAGGUCUCUUCCAACCUAGGAAUUCUGUGAUUCUGUGAUUAAGGAAGGUAUCCUGGUUAACCUGACAAAGCCUAGUUUUCAUAACCAUGCAGGAGUAUCUUCUUGAAAUGCUUUAUUAGCGAGGCCUCUUAUCAGCCCUACGUUAUUUGGCUUGGAAUUGCUAUCAGUACGACAAGGAUACACCGUAUGUACUUAAAUAAAGGCCAUCCUUCCCCCCGCAGGCCUCUGCUUCAUUGAAAGUGUAAUAUUCCCCCCCCCCUCUUGUCUUUUGCAGACGUGUUCUACCUGGCUGGGAAUUAAGGAGCUGGGAUGUGGCAGGAUGGUACCUGAGCUAAUAUUUAAGCUCUCCUGAGAGCGCAGCACUGCCUGACAAAGAGGUCCCUGAUCUGAAUUUGUUUAUGUCUAGCAAAUUACUGAAAACUAUUAAAAACGCCUCCCUAAGGUGCAAGGUUUUCUUCCUUCAGCACUUCAAAUCUCUUUGAUGCCAGAUCUGCCUAUUUAAACAUGACCAGCUUGAAUAUCCUCUGUGAUACGGUUUGAAUGGAAAAUAUUUUGUUGUGUGAGACGUAAACCCACGCUUCUCCCCCCACCAGAAGGUAACUUGUCCAACGAAGAAGAUGGCCUGUUGUGAGCGCUGUAAAGCAGGCGGUACUGAAGUGGAAAAUAGAAAAGUUAGACUGUCAGCAAUUGUUGUAACCUUAGGUUUCCUCCCUGGGUUGUUCUGGGCUGGUAGAUUAUUGUGAAGUGGCUUCAUUUGCCUGCUCAGUACCUGCCUCUGCUAAUGCUUUGAGUAUGUAAGGAUUUGAGUGUGUCAGUUUGUCAGGUCUUUCUCUCUCUCUCUCUCUUUUUUUUUUCUUCAGUUUAGAAGCUCCCAAGAGAUGCAGAUUUUUCUCACCUCACUGCAUUUGGAUUAUUACUUAUCUAUAUUGUGAAUAAAUUAUUUUAAUAUGUUUCUAGGAGGAAAAAAAAAAAAAAAGCAAACAUUUUUCCUCAUCUAUCGCUGCAUACCAAAUAACCAGUUCUUAAGACCCAAGGGGAUUUAAAGCAAAUUUAUUUACCCUCAUUGAAGGAAACGACAUUAAACUUACCACUGGAAAAGUGUUGUAAUUCUCCUUUGCUGUACAUACAUCACCAAACUGCAGACAGGCAGUUAAGGAUGAAUUACACCAAGCUUUCGCUAUAGAUUUGGGAUUUCUUCCCCAUACUGAAAAGUUCUCUAUGCAAAUACAUUCUCCCCUACACUAUCUUUGAAAUGCACUGCUACGCUGAUCCUAAUUUUUUUCAAAGCUAGCAAAGAGAUGUGUGCACAGGUCAUAAAUUAUUAUUAAUACUAACUGGACGAUAACAUCUACUAAGCAGUUUUGAAAAACCAGAGCUUAUUCUGCAUCGGAUUGACCCUGUAGGGCAUUCGCAAAUCAUCUCACUGCAGUGGGUGGGGAGGUUCUUGUCCCCAGUUGUUGCUGGACCUCAGCAACAAGAUUUUACUGCUGAAGUAAAGUGUACUUCAGCAAGUACGUCGCUGGGUUUUUCACCUGCAAGCAAACUGGCAAAUAACAAUGUGAACUCACCCACAGGAGUAAAGUAUAGCAUGCUUCAUUCCUCUGCUGCUUUCCAUUUGAUGAUGCUUUAGACUUUCAGUAAGGUUAUUCACUCACAAAUAUUCUAUUGAGAGAAAAAGAAACAGACAAACAAACAAAAUGGCUUGCCAGAUGUCAUAAAAUACUCUGAGGCUGCACCAGGAGCAUAAACCAUCAUCCUUUGGUUCAAAUAAAAGAAUAUGCUCCGCCUCCCACUUGCUCAAUAAUCCUAACAUUUUUCUGCUUAGGUUGCUGGUGGAUAACAAAGCCACUUUUAUCCUGCUCUGACCUUGCCUGGCAUUCAGAAAAGGCAGGGAGAAAUACAGGAGUCACUUGCACGCGUAAGUCACAGUUGCACCACCGUCCAGUGCUUCAGUUCUCUGAGGUCUCAUCGGAGCACUCUGGUGGGCAUCCUGCUGAUUUGCUGAGUGCCAAUAGUCACACUCAGUGGCUGUCUUAUCAGUUGUCAGCACAAUGCUUUCCGUGAUAAAAUGGAUUUUUUGUAUGCUGAUCAGCUGCUCCUUGAAUUACUGAUGUUUUACAGCAGAUUUUUUUUUUUUUUUUUUACCUAUUUCAAAGAUGGCUGUCAGAAAAGAAAGCUUACAUGCUCAGCCAUGGGAUCUUUCUUUCUGCAGGGGAUAGUUUCUCCAAGCAGUGGAAUCUAUCUACAUAAAAAAAAUCUGUUCCUCAUGUGUCAGGAAUAGCUCCAAGAGGACUUUUCCCAAUGGCAAAUAUUUUGGCCCAUUAAAACUGCAAGAUUGCUUUUUUGACAUUAAAUUU